AUUGAACGCUGGCGGCAGGCUUAACACAUGCAAGUCGAGCGGGGUGAUGGUGCUUGCACUAUCACUUAGCGGCGGACGGGUGAGUAAUGCUUAGGAAUCUGCCUAUUAGUGGGGGACAACAUUUCGAAAGGAAUGCUAAUACCGCAUACGUCCUACGGGAGAAAGCAGGGGAUCUUCGGACCUUGCGCUAAUAGAUGAGCCUAAGUCGGAUUAGCUAGUUGGUGGGGUAAAGGCCUACCAAGGCGACGAUCUGUAGCGGGUCUGAGAGGAUGAUCCGCCACACUGGGACUGAGACACGGCCCAGACUCCUACGGGAGGCAGCAGUGGGGAAUAUUGGACAAUGGGCGGAAGCCUGAUCCAGCCAUGCUGCGGGUGUGAAGAAGGCCUUAUGGUUGUAAAGCACUUUAAGCGAGGAGGAGGCUACUUUAGUUAAUACCUAGAGAUAGUGGACGUUACUCGCAGAAUAAGCACCGGCUAACUCUGUGCCAGCCGCCGCCGUAAGAC
rnacentral:rRNA from 1 species